rnacentral:rRNA from 1 species
AGUGAACGCUGGCGGUAGGCCUAACACAUGCAAGUCGAACGGCAGCACAGUAAGAGCUUGCUCUUACGGGUGGCGAGUGGCGGACGGGUGAGGAAUACAUCGGAAUCUACUUUUUCGUGGGGGAUAACGUAGGGAAACUUACGCUAAUACCGCAUACGACCGACGGGUGAAAGCAGGGGAGCUUCGGACCUUGCGCGAGUGAAUGAGCCGAUGUCGGAUUAGCUAGUUGGCGGGGUAAAGGCCCACCAAGGCGACGAUCCGUAGCUGGUCUGAGAGGAUGAUCAGCCACACUGGGACUGAGACACGGCCCAGACUCCUACGGGAGGCAGCAGUGGGGAAUGUUGGACAAUGGGCGCAAGCCUGAUCCAGCCCUGCCGCGUGGGUGAAGCAGGCCUUCGGGUUGUAAAGCCCUUUUGUUGGGAAAGAAAAGCAGCGGGUUAAUCCCCCGCUGUUCUGACGGUACCCAAUGAAUAAGCACCGGCUAACUUCGUG